rnacentral:rRNA from 1 species
AGAAUCAACGCUGGCGGCGUGCCUAACACAUGCAAGUCGAACGAGAAAGUGGAGCAAUCUACAAGUACAGUGGCGUACGGGUGAGUAACACGUGACUAACCUACCCUCGAGUGGGGAAUAACCUCGGGAAACCGGGGCUAAUACCGCAUAACACCUACGGGUCAAAGGAGCAAUUCGCUUUGGGAGGGGGUCGCGGCCGAUUAGUUAGUUGGCGGGGUAAUGGCCCACCAAGACGAUGAUCGGUAUCCGGCCUGAGAGGGCGCACGGACACACUGGAACUGAAACACGGUCCAGACUCCUACGGGAGGCAGCAGUGGGGAAUUUUGCGCAAUGGGGGAAACCCUGACGCAGCAACGCCGCGUGGAGGAUGAAGUCCUUCGGGACGUAAACUCCUUUCGAUCGGGACGAUUAUGACGGUACCGGAAGAAGAAGCCCCGGCUAACUUCGUGCCAGCAGCCGCGGUAAUACGAGGGGGGCGAGCGUUGUUUGGAAUUAUUGGGCGUAAAGGGUGCGUAGGCGGUUUGGUAAGUCUCUUGUGAAAACUCCGGGCUCAACUCGGAGCCUGCAGGAGAAACUGCCGGGCUUGAGUGUGGGAGAGGUGAGUGGAAUUCCUGGUGUAGCGGUGAAAUGCGUAGAUAUCAGGAGGAACACCUGUGGCGAAAGCGGCUCACUGGACCACAACUGACGCUGAUGCACGAAAGCUAGGGGAGCAAACAGGAUUAGAUACCCUGGUAGUCCUAGCCCUAAACGAUGAUUGCUUGAUGUGGCAGGUACCCAAUCCUGCUGUGUCGAAGCUAACGCGAUAAGCAAUCCGCCUGGGGAGUACGGUCGCAAGGCUGAA